CUGAACAGACUCUCCAGUUUUUCAGUUUUCACUUUGGUUUUCUUUCACUUGGCUUAAUUUCUCAUGCACUGUGUCCAAAACCUGCCUGGUAAUACCAUGGAUACGUUCCAGACUGUCCUGCGUUUCUUCCUGAACCAGAAAACCACCAUUGGCUACAGUUUCAUGGCUCUCAUUACUAUAGGUGGGGAACGAAUCUUCUCCAUGGUCUCCUUUCAGUGCCCCUGUAACCACACCCAGAACUUUGCCUAUGGUUUAACUUUCCUGCUGGGCCCUGCUGCAGUGCUCCUGGUAUUUGGUCUGUUCUUCAGCAGCAGUCUGUGGAGGCUUUACACUGGCUGCUGCCUUAAUCCAAUGAAGCUUUGCCCCCAUGGGAACUGCUUCAGCUGCCUUAAGGUGUUCAUGGGCAUCUUCACUGGGGCAUGUGUUGCUCCUAUAAUGUGGCUCUCUGUGGCCUUGCUCAAUGGGACUUUUUAUGAGUGCGCCGUCAGUGGUCUCAAUGACAACCUUGUGGUGGAUCUGUUCUGUAAAAACAAGACAUUGAAAUGUCGGGAGGAGCUUGCCCGAGUCCCCUGUGACCGGUCCAAACUGUCGAGUGAUGAGCGCAUGGAGUUGUUGCUUAUGCUCCGGGCUCAGUCGCAGAUCCUGGGCUGGAGUAUCAUCAUUAUCGCUAUCACUGUGGGCCUUCUGGGUACCUGCUACAAAAACUGUCGCUCCAAAGUCAGCUACCUGCAGCUCACAUUCUGGAAACACUACAUGGAUAAAGAGAAGGAACGCUUUGACACCUUUGCUGUUGACUAUGCCACCAAGCUGGCUGAAAGAAACCUGCAGAGCUUCUUUGAGAACAAGGACCCUAAUCCAUUCCCUUUCCCCAACCACAAGGCAUGGGAGGAGAUCUCUGCACACUACACCUUUUCCACAAGUGAGCAGUAUUACAGCACCCUGCAGCGGUAUGUGGAGAAGAUAGGCAGGGACUUCACACCAGAGACGAGACCUGUCAUGGACUUAGAGCAUGGGAUAGAGAUGAGCUAGAAGAGGACAAUGUGGUCUGCUUGCCAUUGUUCUGAUGAACAAAACAGAAAUUCAAGACACAGGCAAACAGCAGCAAGACUCUUUACAUAUUCAAAACUGUCGUAUUACAUUUGAUAUUCAGAUCUCAGUCUAUUGAAUGUUCAAGUCUGACUCAGAAAAAGCUGCCUCCUCACUGUCAAGGCUUCCCUUUUUGUGCUACUCCAAAGAAAGUGGCAGUUGCCAAACUGCAGUGGUACAACCUCCUCUACACAUGAAUUAACGAAGGGCAUAACCACUAUUUUAUACACAGUAAUUCUCCCUCCUUUACUUUGGAUUUGGAAAGUAACUUCCCAGAAAAUAAUUUUCAGUUUUGGGGACAUUCAGCAACCAACUGCUGAACGGUACAAGAACGUUCACGGGGUCGCCACAGCGAAUCGUCACACUGCCGACUCGCAUGUUGACAGUUGGCACGUGCUUUACACCGGAUGCCCAAUCUGGAUUGGAACCUAAGCUACAGCGGGGAGAUCACUGUGCCUUAACCACUAGCCUACCAGGGAUGGCAUAUAUAGUAUAUAAAUAUAAUGAAAAUUAAAAAGGACUAAGUAGGAGCAACUUUCAAUAUUGUAGUACUCAAGUCCAGGACUCGGACAAAAGUCUGACUCAAGUCCAGGACUCGUGACUUGACUUGGACUUGAGCACUGAUGACUCAGACUUGGAAUCAGAAUCAAACAUUGACUGCAUUUAGAAUCAGAGGCUAAAUAGGAGAAAUCUUUUUUUUUAAUAGUCUAUAAUAAUUUGGCAUAAGAUGUUGAUAUUAAAACCUGUUUAUUUGCAUUAUGCUGUAUCAAUGUGUUAUCCACUUCCAUCAAGUGUACAUUCCACCUUUCUAUAAAUUAUAUAUAAUGGUUUUUCAUGUUUCCUUGUUUACACACACUGGCCGCAGUAUUUUUAAGUGGCCUUUGCUAUAAUAAUAAAUUAUGAAUUUUUAUUACCCUGUUUGUCAAAAUGAUGGACAAGGAGAAAGUCUAGCAUGAACUCUGCAAUAGACUGUUAUAGUGUUUGGAAUAUAAAAUGGUGCCCUGCAAUGGAUUGGCGACCUGACCAGGGUGUACCCUGCCUUUGCCCAAUUGCCGCCCAGGAUUGGCUAAAGCC